rnacentral:rRNA from 1 species
UACGUAGGGACCAAGCGUUGUUCGGAUUUACUGGGCGUAAAGGGCGCGUAGGCGGCGUGGUAAGUCAAUUGUGAAAUCUCCGAGCUUAACUCGGAACGGUCAAUUGAUACUGCUGUGCUAGAGUGCAGAAGGGGCAAUCGGAAUUCUUGGUGUAGCGGUGAAAUGCGUAGAUAUCAAGAGGAACACCUGAGGUGAAGACGGGUUGCUGGGCUGACACUGACGCUGAGGCGCGAAAGCUAGGGUAGCAAACGGG